rnacentral:rRNA from 1 species
AUUGAACGCUAGCGGGAUGCCUUACACAUGCAAGUCGAACGGAGUGGCGAACGGGUGAGUAAUGUAUCGGAACGUGCCCAGUAGCGGGGGAUAACUACGCGAAAGCGUAGCUAAUACCGCAUACUAUUGGAGCGGCCGCUAUCGGAUUAGCUCGUUGGUGGGGUAACGGCCCACCAAGGCGCCGAUCCCGAGCUGGUUUGAGUGGACGACCAGCCACACUGGUACUUAGACAAGGCCCAGACUCCUACGGUAGGCAGCAGUGGGGAAUAUUGGACAAUGGGGGAAACCCUGAUGCAGCCAUCCCGCGUGUGUGAUGAAGGCCUUCGGGUUGUAAAGCACUUUUGGCAGGAAAGCGGUACCUGCAGAAUAAGCACCGGCUAACUACGUGCCAGCAGCCGCGGUAAUAC